rnacentral:rRNA from 1 species
CACGUAGGGUGCGAGCGUUGUCCGGAAUUAUUGGGCGUAAAGAGCUCGUAGGCGGUGUGUCGCGUCGGCCGUGAAAACCUGCAGCUUAACUGUGGGCUUGCGGUCGAUACGGGCAUCACUGGAGUUCGGCAGGGGAGACUGGAAUUCCUGGUGUAGCGGUGAAAUGCGCAGAUAUCAGGAGGAACACCGGUGGCGAAGGCGGGUCUCUGGGACGUGACUGACGCUGAGACGCGAAAGCGUGGGGAGCAAACAGG